rnacentral:rRNA from 1 species
ACCGGAGCCAGCGAGUAUUCCCUUGGCCGGGAAGGCCCGGGUAAUCUACGUUAAACUCCGUCGUGCUGGGGAUAGAGCAUAGCAAUUAUUGUUCUUCAACGAGGAAUCCNUAGUAAGCGCAAGUCAUCCAGCUUGCGUAGACCACGUCCGUGCCCUUGGUACACACCGCCCAUCGCUACUACCGAUAGAAUGGCUCAGUGAGGCUUUCGGAAUGGCCCAGAGAGGUGGGCAA